UACGUAGGGGGCUAGCGUUGUCCGGAUUUAUUGGGCGUAAAGAGCGUGUAGGCGGCCAGAUAGGUCUGCUGUGAAAACUCGAGGCUCAACCUCGAGAUGUCGGCGGAAACCAUUUGGCUAGAGUACGGAAGAGGCGAGUGGAAUUCCUGGUGUAGCGGUGGAAUGCGCAGAUAUCAGGAGGAACACCAAUAGCGAAGGCAGCUCGCUGGGACGUUACUGACACUGAGGCGCGAAAGCGUGGGGAGCGAACAGG
rnacentral:rRNA from 1 species